UCGCACAAAGGAAUAGCACAGGGCGCUUUAUUAUUUCAAUAACAUUAUCCCGCAGCCGUAAUCGUCAAAGAUGCAUAGACCAUUAACUAAGACUCACUGAAAUAUAUAAAAAAAAGGCAACAACUUUCAUUAUCGCUUUAAAAAACGUAGAGUGAGUUAGAUGCAAAUUCCAAAUUUCCUAAACUUUAUAGACUGUUAAAAUUAAAAUUAGAGCGUGCACUUUGUUGACUAUUAUCCGAUUCAUUAGAAAACUAAGA